UUUGAGUCCACAAAAAAGAAAUACACGCCCAUAGAAACGACCCCAUUUUGUUUUCUAAUAUAUAAACCGAUUUUCGGCAACAGUCACAAAACGCAGAAGCUGAAGCAGAGGAGGUAGGGUAACAAUGGCGGUUCCACUACUUACCAAGAAGAUCGUCAAGAAGCGCGUCAAGAGAUUCAAGCGCCCCCAGAGCGAUCGUAAAAUCUCUGUCAAGGGUUGAAGGGGCUGCUUAU